GCUACCUCAGGAUGCAAUCUCAUCAAGUCACCACAUUACUCAUCUGCAGCACCUUCCUCUGGACGGUGUCUCCACGGUCAAAUCACCGGCUUUAUUCUACAACUCGUUCCCCUGGACUCUAAUAACUAACUGCUCUCACCUGCCUGUCCUCCUGCCCACUGACUCAUCUGGAUUACUGGAAUACAAGGUUAGAAUCCCUCUCACUUACUCACUCAUCACUCAGACGCUCACCCAGAUACCCACCUCCAGAACCUUAUGCCCUCCAUCUGCAAGUAAGUCACAAAUCAGUAACCAGCAGCUCUCCUUCACUUAGAUUCUAACCAUACUCUCCCUCUGUUUCAGUGUCUCCUCAUCAGAGAUUUCCCCGCCUGGUGCUCGCAUCUUGCCAUAGUUUAUUCCUUGUUUUCAAUAAAACAAGGAAUAAAUCUUAUUGCCACUCUGUGUUUGUCUUUACCUGGGUCUACUUCCACCUACCGACUUUACGGCCUUGACAGCCAGUGAUCCACAUUUGCCCGGCAGCUAGUGGCUGACUUUGCAAAUAAAAAAUUCUUACGUGUUUCUUUUUCUCUAGAUAAUAAUUCUUAGAAGCAUAUUCUAAUGGAAAAAUUGACUGGUUACCAUGAGUGGAAAUGUGGAAAUUGGUUAAACAAAAGAACUACAUCUACAUAAGCUUUGUACUUUAAAUAUUCAACAUUUCUUUUUCCAAACUUGAAAUAUUGUAGAAUUAUAUUGAGAGCAGAGUUUCCUUGUGCGGUGUCCUCUUAUUUCCUUUUCUUCCUCAGUGACACAUUAACAAAGAUUUUAGUGGGUAGUAGUUCAUGUUUUUCUUCUUUUUUUUCCUGCUGAAAUUUAGCUUAGUGCAUCUCUGUAAUGCUUCUCCUGAGGUCCUGUGAAAGCUGAUAAGAAUGAGGCAUAGUUCACAGCAGAGUUGGCCAGAAAAGGGAAGUGGUACAACCCACACUUUGUCUUAUUUGAUCAGCUGACUAAAAUAACCUUCUACUAAAUUCUUUAAAUAUACAUUAGAACACAUUUAUCCUAUUUAACAUAAAGCCGCUUUAUAACAUGAUAGCUGUGCAAUAAAGAG
rnacentral:lncRNA from 1 species